UCCAGGGUCCUACGUGGCAUGUCUAAGAAUUCACCAUUCAAAAUCCCUGCAAUUCUAGAGUCUCUAGCUCAAUUCUCUAUCGCUGACGUGGCAAUAUAAUUCCACGUAAGUUAUUUAUAUUAUUCUCACUUUAAUUAAACUAUUUUAUUUAUAUUAUACACCACAUAACACAAAUCGACAGCUUCUCCACUCAAGUGGAUCACUCAUAGGAUUUCUUCCCUUCCCCAUUAGAAUCUUAAACCCUAAUCCAUGGCGCUUUCAGAGAAGAAGAAUAUGCGUCAUCGUCGUCAUCGAUUCUACUCGGUAACGAAAUCGACCGGGUGAUGAAAUCUGCGAUUCGCUUCGCCGUGCCGGCCACCGUCGUUAUCGAGAUGUGCCACCUCUCCCUUUACCUACUGCUCAAGCCCCAAUUCGUCCCAAAUCUGCAAAGGUGACACACGAAGGUGUUGGGUCGCACACGCACAUAUUCGGCCUUCAUCUUCCCCUAUGCGAUCUGCCACCUCCCUUCCCCCACCGCGAUUGGCCGCGUCGGCACCCUCCGCGAUCUGCGGUGAUUCUUCCUACGCAGCUAUGGUAAGAAUUAAUUAGUUUCCUCAUUUAAUUCCUACACAGCCAUUGUAAAUAUAGAAUGAUUAUAGUAAACUUUAGAAAUAAAUUUUUUUAUUAAGUAAUUGUGCAAAUGAAAUCUUUCCAUCUUGAUAAUUGUUUAUAUGGCAAUAGAAUUUUUUGCCAUCUCUCCAAGCAACUAUCUUCUUAAAAUUUGCCAAAUAUCACAUCAUAUAUAUGCUUUAACUAUAUAAAGAUAGUCAUAGCACAUGAUUUUCACAUAAACUGAAGCUAGAAUUACGACUAACAAUUUACUCCUUCGAUUUUCUCUCUUCGGUGAUAUUUGGGUCGAAUUCCUUGGUGAGCUCCACUCUUCAUGUUUGCUAGAAAUCAGUUCUUUUAGUUCUGCAUACCAUAUGUUUGAUAAAAUGCUUGAGAGAACCAUGGGAUUUUUUUCUUCUUCACUUUCUGGAGAUUAUCUCUUGCUGAUUCUUUUCUUCUUCUUUUUGUUGCAGGGAUUAAAAUAAUAAUCAAAGUAGGAGCUUGAGAUUAAAUUCUGCCCUUUUUGUCGCUCAAAUACAACUUUUAAGUAGACGUUCUGUCAUGCAUUUGUGAGUGGUCUAAUCAAACAUUUUUCAGUAGCACCUACACCAGAAAUCAAAUCAGAAGGUGUGUGAGCUUGGAUUUACUGUCGGAAUUUUGUGUCCAUUUUUGUUAGUGGGUUCCUUUUAACUAAAUUUUUUCUUAAAUUUGUUGCUCAUGUUGAUCAUGGGACAACCACUCUCUCGUGGAUGUUAUGUUAAGGCAUUCCAAGGUACAUGUUCUUGGGGUCUUGCUGAGGACUAAUUUGUCGUAAUUUAUUAGUAAUUUAUAGUCGAAUGUUGUAGCUUAGUUUCAAUAUUUGUUUUUCGAGAUUAAGUUAUGUAUGAGAGGCUCCCAGUAGAAAGGUAUUAUGUGAAUGUGGAAUGAUGAAUGUUGUCUCCUGUUGCGUUUGUGCGGGUUUUUUCGGGACAACCAAUUUAUACAGGAUUGGAUAAUGGAUUCUAAUGAGUAGCUUGGCGGCGAUUGAGAUAAGGCAAGAGGCGAUCAUUGAGGAAGGCGAAAUCUGCUCCGAUGUUGGUGGACGCGAUGGAGGAUGGGAGAAACAAAGGGCCGUGCUUUCUCUCCGUCCUCAAUCGUGCACAUCUAAUAUUAUGCGUUCUCAGAUUGACCUUAUUUGGCAGUAUUUAUUUGGGAUCUUGGAUAAUUUUGCUAUCAUUCAAACAAUUUGCCCAAAUUUUAUUUUAUUACUUAGUUCAUUCUGCUACCAGAUCAAUCUCAAAGCCUUUGAACGUGUAAUUUAAUUUUUUAUUGUGUCAAAUGUUGUCUAUCAAAUUAUCAGCUCGAUCUCACAGGGUUUCCAUGGUUUCAACUAUCCAUUCUCCAUCA